rnacentral:rRNA from 1 species
UACGAAGGGUGCAAGCGUUAAUCGGAAUUACUGGGCGUAAAGGGUGCGUAGGCGGUUCGUUAAGUCUGUUGUGAAAUCCCCGAGCUCAACUUGGGAAUUGCAAUGGAUACUGGCAGGCUGGAGUAUGGUAGAGGAAGGUGGAAUUCCCGGUGUAGCAGUGAAAUGCGUAGAGAUCGGGAGGAACACCAGUGGCGAAGGCGGCCUUCUGGACCAAUACUGACGCUCAUGCACGAAAGCGUGGGGAGCAAACAGG